GAUGAACGCUGGCGGCGUGCUUAACACAUGCAAGUCGAACGGUGAAGCAGGAGCCUGCUCCUGUGGAUCAGUGGCGAACGGGUGAGUAACACGUGAGCAAUCUGCCCUGGACUCUGGGAUAAGCGUUGGAAACGACGUCUAAUACCGGAUACGAGGCGUGGGGGCAUCCCCAACGCCUGGAAAGAACUUCGGUCCAGGAUGAGCUCGCGGCCUAUCAGCUAGUUGGUGAGGUAACGGCUCACCAAGGCGACGACGGGUAGCCGGCCUGAGAGGGUGACCGGCCACACUGGGACUGAGACACGGCCCAGACUCCUACGGGAGGCAGCAGUGGGGAAUAUUGCACAAUGGGCGCAAGCCUGAUGCAGCAACGCCGCGUGAGGGACGACGGCCUUCGGGUUGUAAACCUCUUUUAGCAGGGAAGAAGCGAAAGUGACGGUACCUGCAGAAAAAGCACCGGCUAACUACGUGCCAGCCGCCGCAGUAAUAC
rnacentral:rRNA from 1 species